rnacentral:lncRNA from 10 species
CAGAAGCCCAUCCUGUUUUAAGGGGAGAGGAAUUACACUCCACCUCUCAAUGGGUGAAUGACAAAAGAUAUUGAAAGCCGACUCCAGCAAACAAUGCAGAUAACUCUGCAGGAUGACAAUGGAUCCGGAAUAGGAAAUGUUACAAUGGUAACAGCCAGCUGAGACCUGACCAGGGGCCCGGAGACAUUUCCAAGAGGAUGGAGGAGCCCUUCUCAGCUACAUCUCAGAAAUAAAUGCACAGCCUUCUAAGGGACUACUGUGAAAGACAAGGUGUUCUGGACUACAUAUUACAAAAGUGCCAUGUUUUACUAUGAAACCUGUCUCAUUGCCUUGUAGCCACAUUGCACUUUUCUUUGGUAACCAUCAAAAUAUUUUGCAUUGUAUCAGGCACAUGAUGGAAACAAAGUAAAUAUCUGAGUGACUGAUUGAUAUAGCUAAGCCAGUCCCUGGUUCAACUAGGUCCUUAGGCAUUAGUUGGACUUGGCCAACUAUCAAAAGAG